AUUGCUUCUCAGCCUUUUGGAUCGGAUCAAGUACCGUAUCUGCUCUUGCCAGUGUAGUAUGUGACAUGUUCUCUAUCUGAGGACGAUAUAUUGCAUGCAUUUUUGGAGUAGGAGGUAAGACUAGGAGCUGGCUCCAUCUACACCAUGCACUGACCUGGUAUUACAGUAUCUCCAGGUAUGGCACACGAUAC
rnacentral:snRNA from 1 species